GCCGAGCAAGGUGGUGUGCAUGCCUGUAAUCCCAGUGGCUGGGGAGGCUGAGGCAGGAGGAUCACAAGUUCAAAGCCAGCCUCAGCAAUUUAGCGAGGCCCUAAGCAACUCAGUGAGACCCUGUCUCUA
rnacentral:sRNA from 1 species